CUCUCACCUCUAACGCCGCAGUGGAUUAGAGCAUCUGAGAAGCUCUGGAAAAAACCUCUCAGGAAAACAACGACUUCAGCAGGACCCACUAGCCAAGGAAAGGGGAUAAAAUAAAUAGCAAAGGGAAGGAAAAACACGCACCUCUGGGAUGCUGCAGGUCCUGUUGCAGCCGCCGCCAUCCCUCGAAGCCACCGUUGCUUCUGCCAGAGCUGCUACUAGCGCGCUUAUCAGCUCCGCCACCGCCCAAGGGGGAAACUUCUGCAGAAACCCCAACCGAGCUUCCGUCGUAAGUAGCCAACGAGCAGCCACGCAGCGUGCUGCUAGCGGGGCGGGAGGCUACGCGCGGGCGCGUGGCCUGCUGGGGCAGUGGAGGACCGAGUCUUCCCAGCCCGCACCCUGGCCUGGGACCCGCGCUCCCAGUCCCGGGACCCGCGCUCCCAGUCCCCGCCCCUAGCAGCCAUGGUUAUGGAGGCCCGGGCCAACACGUUCUCCUUCUCUUCCACCGCGCCCACUGCUGCGGUCACUCGGACCAAGCCUCCAGGAGUAGUAGCUCAGAAGCACUUUUGUAGCAUACCGUUACCCCUCAGGAGCUUAGCGGUUAAGGGCGUUUGCAUGUCUUUUAGUAACACAAGCUCCAGGCCGGGCGCCGUGGCUCACGCCUGUAAUCCCAGCACUUUGGGAGUCCGAGACGGGUGGAUCACGAAGUCAGGAGUUCAAGACCAGCCUCGCCAAGAUGCUGAAACCCCGUCUACGAAAAAUACAAAAAUUAGCCGGGCGUGAUGGUGGGCGCCUGUAAUCCCAGCUACUGGGGAGGCUGAGGCAGGAGAAUCGCUUGAACCUGGGAGGCAGAGGUUGCAGUGAGCCGAGAUCGCGCCACUGCACCACAGCCUGGGCGACAGAGCAAGACUCCUUAAUAAAUAAAUAAAUAAAUAAAAAAUAAAUAAAAUAAGCUACUUCGAGCUCCGUUUUCCCUAGGUUUUAUCAUGGCUGCCACAGGUGGCCAAGCCCUUUCGUCUCCGUGAUGUCACUGGAGGCUGCGUGGUCUUUUCAGGGAACAGAGGGGCCUGGAUGGCGCCUGGAUUCCGGCGAUCGUUGCGCUGGGAAUGGAAAAGGGCUGGGACUCGCUGGAAGUCGUUCUGAACUAAUAGAGCUAAAGGCCUUCUGGUUCCUGGGGAGACGCGCCUGGCCCCCGUGUACUAUUCAUUCCCUUCCUCAUAACUCCACAGCCCAGGCUUUCUUCUUAGUGGGCUUCCUAGACCGAAAGUGAUCUCAGGGCCGCUUUGUUUCCCAUCCCGGUCGGUCAGGCCCUCCGUCAGCGCCCUUUGACCCAUGCAGAUCGGAUGGGGAAAGCUGCCAGCGCCUUCCAGGGAUGGGGGCAGAAUGGGGAGCUGGAGGGAGUGGUCUUUUUCUAACUUUAUACCACUAUCAAACUGUGUUAAUUCAUGUAGCUUUAUAAUAAGUCUUGAAGUCCUGUGACUUUAUUCUCCCAAGAUUGCUUUGGCUUAUUCUAAGGCUAUUGUAUUUGUAGGUGAAUUUUGGAAUUAGCUUGUCAGUUUAAAAAAAAAACAAAACUGCUAGGAUUUGUACUGGGCUUGCGUUGGAUCUGUAGAUCUGUUUGGGGAAAACUAGUAUAUUAACAAUACUGUCCUUCAAUCCAUUAAUAUCAUUAUUUCCCACCAUUUAUUUAAGUGGCCUCUAAUUUUUCCUGGUAAUAUUUUGUAGAUUGUACACAUAUUUAUAUCUUAAUGUUUGGAUCCAAGUUGUGCUUGGAUCGAUUGCAGUAUAGAGAUCAAACAUAUAUUUCAUUAGAUUUAUUCUUGAGCAGUGUUUUAAAUGCGAUGUUAAAUAGCAUUUUAUUUUUUUAUAUUCUCGUUUGUUGUAAGAAUAUAGAAAUGCUAUUGAUUUUUACAUAUUGAUGUUAUAUUCAAGCAUGUUGCUAAGUUCCCUUAUUAUUUGUAAGGGACAAAAAGACUACAGAGUCUUUUGGAAUUUAUGUGAUUACAAUCUUCCAAUCUGUGAAUAGAGAUGGUUUAACUUUCCUGUAAUCUUUAUACCUUUUAGUUUUGUUGCUGGCUAGUAUGUCCACUAUUGAAUAGAAAUAGUGAUAAUGGACUUCCUUGUCUUGGUUGUAAAAUCAAGAGGAAAGCAUUCAAUAUCAAGUGCUUUUUCUGCCUUUAUUGAAAUGUUCAUAUGUAUUUUUAAUAAUAAUAUGUUACUGUUAUAUAAUAAUAAUUUUAAAAUAAUAUUUUAAUAAUAAUGUUACAAUGUAACCAAUUACAUUGGUUAAUUUUCAAAUGUUAUCUAAAUGGCCAAUUGUCCUUCCGGAUCCCCAUUGAUUCCGAUUGGGAUGGCACUGUAAGAGAGGCAGAACCAGUGAAGGAAACAAGGUUUUUUCAGGAGUUAUAUACAGGGGUGGUCCAGUGGUGGUGGGCUGGCCUGGAGAAAUACUACCGUUCGUAUUAAAAAAAAAAAAGCAUGUAGUCCAUAUAGCAUAUAGCAUUUUCACUUAGAACCCUCCUUCUAGCAAUCUCCAUUUAACCCAAAACAAAGGGCCUCGAUCACCUGUACAGCCUGUGUUCCAAGGGAUGGGGCAGGGAUAUGGCUGUCCUUCAUAGAUAAGUAGUGAAUCUCAGUGUUGGCUACUCCCGGAUUCCUUAGCCUGGGACUCCAAACACACUUAGAAUAGGGUAAUUCUCAGGUAUGCUCCAGUUAUGGCUCAGCCAUACACCAAGGUGUAUACACCAACCCCUGCCAUGCACCAAUAUGCAUAUAAAUAUGAAUAGCCUCUGAAAGGGCGAAUUCCUAGAUUGACCUAUAGGCCCACAUGAAAAGUUCUAUAUUAAUAGCUAUGUCAUGACUGGGUGCAGUGGCUCAUACCUGUAAUCCCAACACUUUGGGAGGUCGAGGUGGGUGGAUCCCUUGAGGCCAGGAGUUGGAGACCAGCCUGGGCAACAUGACAAAACCCCAUCUCUACUAAAAAUACAAAAAUUACCUGGGCUUGGUGGUGCACACCUAUAAUCCAAGCUACUAAGGAGGCUGAGGCACAGGAAUCACUUGAACCUGGGAGGCAGAGGUUGCAGUGAGUGAGAUGGCACCACUGCACUCCAGCCUGGGCAACAGAGUCAGACUCUGUCUCAAAAAAAAAAAAUAGCUGUAUCAUGGACAUUGAAAUUAUAAUGAGAUACCAAAACUACCACCAGAAUGACUUAAAUUAAAAGGAUUUCCAAUACCAAGCAUUGACAAGGAUAUGGAGCAUUUUUUAGAGAGAAUGACCAAGGAGUUGGCUACAGUCAGGUGCUGCAGAAUCAGAUCUGUGGACCUUAAUGUGCAUCUGGUGAAAUAAAUAACUAUAAUGGUGAUGAAGAAAGCAAUUGCCCAGGAAUCCUACUGUGGUCUGAGAUAAGAAGAUCAUAUUCCUAUUGCCACAUCCCUGGAGGCCAUUUGUCUUUUUUCAAUGACUGAUCAUCCUAUUCAGAGUGAGAGGAUCUGGCAUGGAAACAAGAGGCCUGUCGUACCAUGGCAACUGAAAGCCACUCUUUCCCACUUACCAUUGUUUUCAAGCCAUUAAUUUCCUAUUAAACUUCAUUUUCCUCUUCCUGAGAGUUUCACUAUAAAAAUAUAUGUGUGUAUAGAUAUAUAUUCCUAGCAUAAGAGUACUAUAAUAGUGUUUUACAUAGAACUUUUACAACAAUUCUUUGAAGUGCUUUAUUGUUCCCAUUUGACAGGUGAGGCGAUCUCAGGCACAGGAAGGCUGAAUGACAUUUCCAAAGUCACCUCCUUGUAAGAGGCAGUGUCAGAAGCUGACAAUGGACUUGACCACUAUGCUGUCGUAGCAACAGAGAGAAAUAAUUUUUAAGACAAUCCAUGUAUUUAAAAAAUAUUUUUGUACCUCUUGUGAGUUUUUAAAAGAAUCGUUUUGAGUUUUUUCUUUUUGAUUGUGAUUGAAAACACCAAUACUUGUUUUAUAGGCAAAUAUCAUCUAUAGUGAUCAGAGAUCCAAGUAAAAUAUAGAUAGUCUGAUCUUAGCAUAAUCUUAGAAGAAUAAUUAUAUACAACCAAAUGGAAUUUCUUAAAUGCACAAAUGGAAUUAAAAGAGGAGGUUCUUUUCCAUCUUAACCAAGAAGGAGGGCAUAAUGGAAUGACCGUGUGCUAAGCAAGGGAGAAGGAAAACGAGUAGGAGGGAAAGCAUUGCAGAGGAGAAACUAAAUUACCAUGAGUGUAGAAAAAAAAAAGUGAGGACUGGAGAAUGUGAAAAUAUCAAAUAUAGUAUUUCAAUGUCAGAACAGUUCACUAUAUUAAAACUCAAGUCCAUUAUGCACAAGAAAAACUGGAGGUAAUGAUUAUACAUUGACCCAAAAUGAGCACUGAGCCUGGGGAUGACAUGAAAACAUUUUUAAACAAGAGGAAAGAUAAAAAAUAAUGCAAUUCUGAAAACUGCUGAGGAGCAUAAUGUUUUUUUCUAACACAAAAAGCUAAAUUCAGUUACUUUUCUUUGCUGAUUUAAUGAGGGAAAAGAGUCUCACCAUAAUAAAGAGACAAUAGAUUUUUUCUGUCAUGACACACUUAUGGUCUCCAUUUGGUAUAUUCUAUGCACAGAGUUGUUGAAAACACUAUAUUUACUAUUUCUGAACAGAAUAAGAUAAUUCAAUCAGCUACAUCUUAUACAUGAUCACAGGCAUGGAGGUGUCAUAGAAACACCUCUACAAAUCUUGGAAAUGUUCAUGCAGAUAAGACAGGGCAGCGGGCAAAUUAAUUUCCAAAUUAUAUUAGAGAACUUAAAAAUAGGCUGGAUGUGAUGGCUCACGCCUAUAAUCCCAACACUUUGGGAGGCUGAAGCAAGAGGAUUGCUUGAGGCCAGGAGACCAGCCUGAGCAACAUAGGGAGAGCUUGUCUCUACAAAAAUUUUUUUUAAGUUUGCUGAGUGUGGUGGCACAUGCCUGUGGUCCCAGCUGCUCAGGAGGCUGAGGUGGGAGGAUCGUUUGAGCUGAGGUAUUCGAGGCUGCAGUGAGCCACAAUUGCACCACUUCACUCCAGCCUGAGAAAUAGAAUGAGACCCUGUCUCAAAAAAAAAAAAAAAAAAAGAUUUCAUGACUUUAUUCAAACCAACAAUGAUGAACAGUGAGGAUUACAUUAAAUGAGAAGCAGUUAGGGGCUGGUUUAUGGUCUUGACCUCCAUUCCUUCUCCACGAGUGCAGCCCACGACCCAGUGAUGAUUUCCCCUUCCCUGCAUUGCGUUGGCACCGACUUAGUUUCUAGCCCAGAAUUCCGUUUUCCAGACAAAAGACCCUGCUCCAUCUCCCAGCACACUUCCUUCCUUUGCAGGCUAUGCCUUCUAGACUGAAAUAGAAAAUACUCACCUGAUUUUUCCCUUGUUGCUGUGACAAUAGGUGCAGGGUGAUGCUCAGGACAGCCAGUGGGUGAGUGCGUGGAGGAAGGCAUCCAGGUCUCAGAUAUGGGUUUGUGUCCUGUGACCUCACCUUUUUGCAGCACUGCAAUGAGCAUUUCACCUGCGGCAACAAUGACAGUGCAUAUUUGGGGAGCUAAAGAUAUUUCAAGAAACUUUGUCCCAGUUACCAAUUACCAAAAACAAGUACAAUUUUCUAUGAAGGGGGCCAGCCCCUCCACACCUGUGGGUGUUUCUCAUCAGGUGGAAUGAGAAACUGAGAAAAGAAAGAGACACAGAGACAAAGUAUAGAGAAAGAAAAGUGGGCCCAGGGGACGGGCGCUCAGCAUAUGGAGGACCCGCCCUGGCACCAGUCUCUGAGUUCCCUCAGUAUUUAUCGAUCAUUACCUCUACCAUCUUGGAGAGGGGGAUGUGGCAGGACAAUAGGGUAAUAGUGGGGAGAGGGUCAGCAGGAAAACAUGAACAAAGGUCUCUGUGUCAUAAACAAGGUUAAAAAAAGGUGCUGUGCUUUGAUGUGCACAUACACAAACAUCUCAGUGCAUUAAAGAGCAGUAUUGCUGCCAGCAUGUCUCACCUCCAGCCCUAAGGUGGUUUUCUCCUAUCUCAGUAGGUGGAACAUACAAUCGGGUUUUACACCGAGACAUUCCAUUGCCCGGGGACAAGCAGGAGACAGAUGCUUUCCUCUUAUCUCAACUGCAGAGAGGCCUUCCUCUUUCACUAAUCCUCCUCAGCACAGACCCUUUACCGGUGUCGGGCUGGGGGAUGGUCAGGUCUUUCCCUUCCCAUGAGGCCAUAUCUCAGGCUAUCACAUGGGGAGAAACCUUGGACAAUACCUGGCUUUCCUAGGCAGAGGUCCCUGUGGCCUUCAGCCUUCGCAGUAUAUUAUGUUCCCGGGUACUUGAGAUUAGAGAGUGGUGAUGACUUUUAACAAGCAUACUGCCUUCAAGCACUUGUUUAACAAAGCACAUCUUGCAUAAUCCUAAAUCCAUUAAACCUUGAGUCAACACAGCACAUGUCUCUGCGAGCACAGGGUUGGGGCUAGGGUUACAGAUUAACAGCAUCUCAAGGCAGAAGAAUUUUCCUUAGUACAGAACAAAAUGGAGUCUCUUAUGUCUACUUCUUUCUACAUAGACACAGUAACAGUCUGAUCUCGCUUUCUUUUCCCCACAUUCUAGUGGGCAUCUCUAGCAAGAUGAGAGUGUUUGGCAGAGGCUCUUGCUUUCCAUAAUCCCUGGAGGCAACAGGAAGGGGCUCCUAGGGAGGGAGCAGGAAGGGGUGAGUCUAGACUGAGGGGCUAGCAGCAGAGCACACGCGUCUUACUAGAGUCUGUGCUUUCCUGAGAUGGUCCCCUACAGAAAACCCAAUUUUCUGUUAAUCCUCAGAUUCCUGAGCCAAACUAUUAUUUCACUGUGAACAGAGAAAUGGGAUCAUGCGAGGAACUUGAGAAGGAUAUGUGAACAGAUUACAGUGCAAACAGCAACUUGAAGUCAAAUACUGAUAUGAAAAAUAAAUGGGAACAAUGUUGGGCAUUCCAAUGUAAAUUAACAAUCAAAUGUAGAUGUUAUAUAUUCUAUAAAUAUAUAUUUUAUUAACAUUUACCCCUAGAGAAAUAGAGAUUCUAAAUUGUAUAAUAUUUAUAAAAGAAACAGAGACAUUUAUCAGAGUCCCUCAUAUACACAGAAGCACCAAGUUCAUAUGAUCCAGAGAGAAAUUCUACUAGUAAACUAACUGAUAACCUGACGCUACCUAAACUAUUCAAGUCUUAGUCAAUCUUCCCAAUAGUUUUCAGGAAGGGUGCAUAAAGGUGAUAUGAGAUCUUACCCUGGUUUGAGCCAUGUAUUACAAAAGUAUAGGACGUGUGAAUAUAAAUGUAAACUUUUAAAUAUUAGAAGCCAUUGUGUCAGCACAUUGAAACAUUACAUCAUAAUCCACUGCCUUUUGUGCCAGAAAUGCAAGUGAGAGUCAACACUUGGAAAUCCAUUAAUACAAUUAAUUAUGUUAAGAGAAUCAGUGAGAAUGUUAUGUGUUCAUGUCCAUAGAUUUAAAAAAAGACAUUGCCAGGAUUCUGCAGAAAAUCAUAUUUUAAAAAUUAAUAAGGAACUAGUGUAAAAUAUAUACAUAUUUUUAGACAGGGUCUUGCUCUGUCACCCCAGCAAGAGUGCAGUGGUGCAAUCAUAGUUCACUGUAGCCUCAGCCUCCUGGGCUCAAGUGAUCCUCUUGCCACAGCCUCCCCAGCAGCUGGGACUACAGGCACAUGCCAGCACACCCGGCUAAUUUUUUGUUUUUUUGUAUUUUGUAGAGACAGGGUCUCACUAUAUAGCCCAGGCCAGUCCUGAUCUCCCAGCCUUAGUGGAUCCUACUGCCUCAGCCUCCCAAAUUACAUGCAUGAGCCACUGCGCCUGGCCCUAAAUGUUUCUUGAGAGCAAAAUCUACUUUCUAUAAAGGCGGGCAUGAGUCAACCCUUUCAAAGCCAUUAGGGGCCAGGUGUGGUGGCUCAUGCCUGCAAUUACAGCACUUUGGAAGGCCGAGGCAGGUGGAACACCUGAGGUCAGGAGUUCCAGACCAGUCUGGCCAACAUGGCAAAAAACCCCUUCUCUAGAAAAAAUACAAAAAUUAGUUGGGCAUGGUGGGCACGCCUGUAGUCCCAGCUCCUCAGGAGGCUGAGGCAGGAGAAUUGCUUGAAUCUGGGAGGCAGAGGUUGCAGUAAGCCGAGAUUGUGCCAUUGCACUGCAGCCUGAGCAACAGAGCAAGAUUCUGUCUAAAAAAAAAAAAAAAAAAAAAAAAAAAAAAAAAAAAAAAAAUUAAUAAACUAUUAGGACAGUCUUGGAGGAAAAAGUCUUGGAAGAAAAAGUCUCUUGGGUAAGGAUUAAUUAACUGGUACACAGGCUGGCAAGGUGACCCUUAGUGGUCUGCCAGUCUCAGAAAAAAAUUUAUGCAUCUAGGGAAAAAUUGGUCACAACUAGGCAAUUAGAUCACAGCCUGCCCAGCAAGUAAAACAAAAUUCUGUGUCAAGCACACCGUAAAAAAAAAAAAACACUGGUACAAACCUUAAACAUUCCCUGAUAGGCAUCGUAGACUUUUUUGGUUUGUACUGCUUUUUGUUUUGUUUUUUGCUGCCUAGACAUUAAUCAGCAGAAUGAGACCCUCAAAUUUCAAAGCAUGCAAUAAUGGUCCCCCCAUUACUGGGACCCCUGCUAGUUACAUGUUUGAAAAUUAGUUGAUAACUGAUUUUGGCCAGGCGCGGUGGCUCAUGCCUGUAAUCCCAGCACUUUGGGAGGCCAAGGCAGGCAGAUCAUCUGAGGUCAGGAGUUCAAGACCAGCCUGGCCAACAUGUUAAAACCCCGUCUCUACUUAGUGGCAGCACAGACCUGGAAUCCCAGCUACUCUCGAGGCUGAGGCAGGAGAAUCGCUUGAAUCUGGGAGGCAGAGGUUGUAGUGAGCCGAGAUCAUACCACUGCACUCCAGCCUGGGUGACAAGAGCAAAACUCUGUCAAAAAGAAGAAUGAAAGAGAGAAAGAGAAAAGAAAAAUUAAGGUCCUCUCUCAUGCAUGUUUUAAUUUGUAUUUGUAUACAUUUAAGGGGUACAAGUGUAGUUUUGUUACAUGGACAUACUGGGUAGUGGUGAAGUCUGGACUAGUAGUGUAAACAUUCCCUGAAGAGUGCACAUUAUAUCCACUAUGAAAUUGCUCAACCCUCACCCCUCUCACUCACACACCCUUCUGAGUCUCCAAUGACUAUUAUUCCACUCUCUGUGUCCAUGAGUAUGUGUUAUUUAGCUCCUAUUUAUAAGUGAGAACAUGCAGUAUUUGACUUUCUGUUUCUGUUAUUUUACUUAAGAUAAUGAACUUCAUUUCCAUCCAUGUUGCUGCAAAAGACAUGAUUUCAUUCUUUUUUAAAUUUUGAAGUUUAUUUUAGACAUAGGGAUACAUGUGCAGAUUUGUUACAUGAGACUACUGUGGAUUUUAUUGUUUUUAUGGCUGAAUAGUAUUCCACUGUAUGCAUACCACAUUUUCUUUAGCCAAUCAUCUAUUGAUGGACACUUAGAUUGAUUUCAUAUCUUUGCUAUUGUAAAGAUAUGGAAUACAGCAAUCCUGCUACUGGAUAUAUACAUAAAGGAGAAAUACUAUAUAAAAAAGAUACCUGCACUUGUAUGCUUAGAGCAGCACUUAGGUUGAUUCCAUAUCUCAAAGAUGUAAUACUUCUCUUUUAUCUACAUAUCCAGUAGCAGGAUGCUGCAUCCAGCCUGGGUGACAAGAGCGAGACUCUGUCUGAGAAAAAAAAAAAAAAAAGAAUGAAAGAUAGAACCUCACAACAGAUUCAACAGAAAUUUUAAAAGAAUUUAAGGUAUUAUGAUGAACAACUAAUGUCAACAAGUUUAGCAACAUAAAUGAAAUAAGCAAAUUCCGACAAAGACAUUAAGUAGCAAAAUUGACUAAAGAACAAAUAGAAAAUCUUAAUAGAUGUAUAUAAAGUAAAAAAAAAUUGAAUUAGUAAUUAAACAUAUUCCCUCUGAAGAAGAGUGUAGUGCUAGAAGCCUUAACCCAUGAAUUCCAUCUAACAUUUAAGGAAGAAAGUAUAUCAGUCAUACACAAACAUUUCCAGCAAAUACAGAAGAGAAGAUAUGCCAAAACAUUUUAGAAAGCCAGUAUUAGCUUGAUACCAAAGCAGGAUGGAGACAUCAGAAGAAAAGGAAAGUGCCAAACAAUGUCUCUCAUAAGUUUACCUGCAAAUAUGUUUAACAGCCUGGAAGCAAAUUACAUCCAACAGUAUGUAAGACGAUCAUACACUACAUGUCUCUGGAAUUAAUACUAGUAAUGCAAAUUUGGUUUACUAUCUAAAACACAAUGAACAUAGUACAUCAUAUAAAUAAAUAAAGUAGAAAAUCAAUAGAAUCAUGUCAAAAGACAUAAAAGAAUUUUGGCAAAAUCCAACACUAAUUCCUGAUAACUCACAACAAACAUGCAGAAAAAAAAUAAGUGACAAAACUAACAUAAAGGACAAAGGAGAGUAAUUGGAAUUAUACCAUUUUAAGGCUCUUAUCUUUAACAAAAGUGUUAAAAUAUUAAUUCAGGCCG
rnacentral:lncRNA from 10 species